rnacentral:rRNA from 1 species
GUCUACAGCCAUAUCACCCUGAACACGCAUGAUCUCAUCUGAUCUGAUCUUGGACACUAAGCAGGGUUGGGCCUAGUUAGUACUUGGAUGGAAGACUACCUGGGAAUACCAGGUGCUGUAGGCU